rnacentral:rRNA from 1 species
UUCGAACGGAGAGUUUGAUCCUGGCUCAGGAUGAACGCUGGCGGCGUGCUUAACACAUGCAAGUCGAACGAUUAAGACGGCUUCGGCCGUGUAUAGAGUGGCGAACGGGUGAGUAACACGUGACCAA